CCUACGGGAGGCAGCAGUGGGGAAUAUUGCACAAUGGGGGAAACCCUGAUGCAGCGACGCCGCGUGAGUGAAGAAGUAUUUCGGUAUGUAAAGCUCUAUAAGCAGGGACGAGACAAGACAGUACCUGACUAAUAAGCCCCGGCUAACUACGUGCCAGCAGCCGCGGUAAUACGUAGGGGGCAAGCGUUAUCCGGAAUCACUGGGUGUAAAGGGUGCGUAGACGGCUGAGCAAGCCUGAAGUGAAAGGCCGGGGCCUAACCCCCGAACUGCAUUGGAAACUGUACGGCUGGAGUGCAGGAGAGGUAAGUGGAAUUCCUAGUGUAGCGGUGAAAUGCGUAGAUAUUAGGAGGAACACCAGUGGCGAAGGCGACUUACUGGACUGUAACUGACGUUGAGGCUCGAAAGCGUGGGGAGCAAACAGGAUUAGAUACCCGUGUAGUC
rnacentral:rRNA from 1 species